UCAUGCUGUUCUAAUCUCACAACAGUUCUGCGUAAGUUUUCUGUCCUGGUUCAUUUGGAGCAUUUUAGUUCCACAGUGGUAGGGUGAAAACUUUACCUCCUUCACAGGAAUCUUUCACAAUUGUGUAACUUAUGAAAAGAAGUAAAAAAAAAGUAAGCAGAAACCACAGGAUGUCAAGUUCUUUUUUGGGGUUUGAAGCUUCAACUUCAGGCAAAGGACUAGGUCCAUACAAGGAAACUUCCAUGCAGAUGUUCUCAACUUCAGGUAUGGCUUAAGACUUUCAACACAUUCCCUGACACUUUUUGCACACAUUAUUGAAAACUUGCUGCCAGAUCACAAGGUUCAAAAACUUACAAUGGAGCAAUUGAAAUUUGUGUCUUUAUCGGCAGUUCCUGGUUGGCAACAGAUCAAGCAAGUACCGUGGGCCUUUACAAUCAAACCAUCGGAAUUAUGUGCAGAAAAAUUGCAACGGGUUGUGGGAGGAUGGUAGUAAUGCUAAGUGUGGGGACUAGGCCUGAUACUGGAGGACAGGCCAGUCCAAUGCCACAACCUACAGUUUGGCAAGACUUAUGAAUAAACAUAUUAGUAAGCAAGUCAUACUCUUUUAAUACACCCUCAGUAAAUUCCUUGAAAAUCUACUUACACACUCGAUUUUACAAUCUUGUUGACAUCUAAAUAUCCAAUCAUUAGUAGGGUGCUAGACAAAUCAA